rnacentral:pre_miRNA from 18 species
GGAGUUCCUACAGGGGCGAGCUGGGAACACACGGUGAUGAGGCGGUCUGGUCUUUCGUGUGUUCUCAGGUCGCCCCUGCCGGGACUCU